rnacentral:lncRNA from 1 species
GAAAAUUUCAGCAUUACCAUUUUUUGUUUCUAGAGAUGACUUGGACCAAUUAGGGUCACAUGUAGAGAUAUCCCUGUAAUUUUGUUAUUUCUUUUUAAACUUUAGGUACACAAUUUUGAUAAUGCCCUGCACUGGUACUGUUAUUCUCUGAGAUUUUAUGCAGCUGAUCAAUCUGAUCUGGACUUGGCCAAGCUACAGAGGAACAUGGCUUCUUGUUACCUGCAUUUGGGACGAUUUGAUAAGGCUAAAGAGGCAGUUAUCAAAGCUGCACAACGUGAUCCUAGAAAUAUUUUCACUCAGUUUUAUAUAUUCAAGAUUUCAAUCGUGGAGGGCAACUCUGGCAGAGGUAUAAAUGUUAGUUAUAAGUUAUAUUUGUCUAUUAACACAAAGAAUAAUCAUCUUUGACCAUAAAAGGAAAAAGUAGUCUUUAAGACAAUGGAGUUGGAUAUAUAUAUA